GCAUCGAUGAAGAACGCAGCGAAAUGCGAUAAGUAAUGUGAAUUGCAGAAUUCAGUGAAUCAUCGAAUCUUUGAACGCACAUUGCGCCCCCUGGUAUUCCGGGGGGCAUGCCUGUUCGAGCGUCAUUUCACCACUCAAGCCUCGCUUGGUAUUGGGCAACGCGGUCCGCCGCGUGCCUCAAAUCGACCGGCUGGGUCUUCUGUCCCCUAAGCGUUGUGGAAACUAUUCGCUAAAGGUGGCUCGGGAGGCUACGCCGUAAAACAACCCCAUUUCUAAGGUUGACCUCGGAUCAGGUAGGGAUACCCGCUGAACUUAAGCAUAUCAAUAAGCGGAGGA
rnacentral:rRNA from 1 species